AUGGGCGCAGCCUGAUGCAGCGACGCCGCGUGCGGGAUGACGGCCUUCGGGUUGUAAACCGCUUUUGACUGGGAGCAAGCCCUUCGGGGUGAGUGUACCUUUCGAAUAAGCACCGGCUAACUACGUGCCAGCAGCCGCGGUAAUACGUAGGGUGCAAGCGUUAUCCGGAAUUAUUGGGCGUAAAGGGCUCGUAGGCGGUUCGUCGCGUCCGGUGUGAAAGUCCAUCGCUUAACGGUGGAUCCGCGCCGGGUACGGGCGGGCUUGAGUGCGGUAGGGGAGACUGGAAUUCCCGGUGUAACGGUGGAAUGUGUAGAUAUCGGGAAGAACACCAAUGGCGAAGGCAGGUCUCUGGGCCGUUACUGACGCUGAGGAGCGAAAGCGUGGGGAGCGAACAGGAUUAGAUACCCUGGUAGUCCAAGGGCGAAUUC
rnacentral:rRNA from 1 species